GGUUUCGUGUUGUAAUUGGUUAGCAAUCAAGACUCUGAAUCUUGCAAUCCGAGUUCGAGUCUCGGCGAGACCU
rfam:Mortierella elongata AG-77 unplaced genomic scaffold K457scaffold_25, whole genome shotgun sequence.